rnacentral:rRNA from 1 species
GUCUAUAUAGAUUCUUAAUAUAAAGUCUAACCUGCCCACUGAGUUAUUAAAGGGCUGCGGUAAUUUGACCGUGCAAAGGUAGCAUAAUCAGUAGUCUUUUAAUUGAAGGCUUGAAUGAACGGUUGGAUGAGGGAAAAACUGUCUCUCCCAUAAAUUGAAAUUUGACCUUUAAGUGAAAAGGCUUAAAUUAACUAAGGGGACGAUAAGACCCUAUAAAACUUAAUAUAAAUUAUAUUUUGUUCUUAAAUUAUAAAUAAUCAUAAUAAAAUCUAAUUUAUAUUUUGUUGGGGAGAUAUUGAUAUAAAUUGUAACUGUCUAAUCUAAAAACCAUAAUUAUUAUUAUAAUGUGAUCCUUCAUUGAGGAUAAAAAGAAUAAGUUACUUUAGGGAUAACAGCGUAAUUUUUUCUGAGAGUUCUUAUCGAAGAAAGUAGUUGCGACCUCGAUGUUGAAUUAAAAUUUCAGUUAGGUGUAGCCGCUUAACU